rnacentral:rRNA from 1 species
UACGUAGGGGGCAAGCGUUGUCCGGAUUCAUUGGGCGUAAAGAGCGUGUAGGCGGCCAGGUAGGUCGGUUGUGAAAACUGGAGGCUCAACCUUCAGAGGUCGACCGAAACCAUCUGGCUAGAGACCGGGAGAGGAGAGUGGAAUUCCUGGUGUAGCGGUGAAAUGCGCAGAUAUCAGGAAGAACACCCGUGGCGAAAGCGGCUCUCUGGAACGGUACUGACGCUGAGACGCGAAAGCGUGGGGAGCAAACAGG